AAGUAUUCAAGAAUACUUCGCAUGCAAA
rnacentral:sRNA from 1 species